CCUACGGGAGGCAGCAGUGGGGAAUAUUGGACAAUGGGGGGAACCCUGAUCCAGCCAUGCCGCGUGUGUGAAGAAGGCCCUCGGGUUGUAAAGCACUUUCAGUGAGGAAGAACGCCUGGUGGUUAAUACCCAUCAGGAAAGACAUCACUCACAGAAGAAGCACCGGCUAACUCCGUGCCAGCAGCCGCGGUAAUACGGAGGGUGCGAGCGUUAAUCGGAAUUACUGGGCGUAAAGCGCGCGUAGGUGGCUUGAUAAGCCGGUUGUGAAAGCCCCGGGCUCAACCUGGGAACGGAUCCGGAACUGUCAAGGUUGAGGGCAGGAGAGGGAGGUAGAAUUCCCUGGGUAGGGGGGAAAUGCGUAGAGGUCGGGAGGAAUACCAGUGGCGAAGGCGGCCUUCUGGACUGACACUGACACUGAGGUGCGAAAGCGUGGGUAGCAAACAGGAUUAGAUACCCUGGUAGUC
rnacentral:rRNA from 1 species